AUUGAACGCUGGCGGCAGGCCUAACACAUGCAACUCGCGCGAGCGGCGGACGGGUGAGUAAUGUAUGGGGACUGCCCGAUAGAGGGGGAUAACGACUGGAAACGGUAGCUAAUACCGCAUACUAUCCGAUAACCCAUAUGGGAUUAGCUAGUAUGUGAGUGAACGUCUCACCUAGGCGACGAUCCCUAGCUGGUCUGAGAGGAUGAUCAGCCACACUGGGACGGAGACAAGGCCCAGACUCCUACGGAGGCAGUAGGGGGGAAGAUUGCACAAUGGGCGCAAGCCUGAUGCAGCCAUGCCGCGUGUAUGAAGAAGGCCCUAGGGUUGUAAAGUACUUUCAGUCGGGAGGCGUUACCCGCAGAAGAAGCACCGGCUAACUCCGUGCCAGCCGCCGCGGUAAUUC
rnacentral:rRNA from 1 species